rnacentral:tRNA from 1 species
GUAGCUCAGUUGGUAGAGUACUUGCCUAGCAUGUGCAAGGCCCUGGGUUCAAUCUCCAGUACA